rnacentral:rRNA from 1 species
UGGGGAAUCAUUCGCAAUGGGCGAAAGCCUGACGGUGCGACGUCGCGUGGAGGAUGAAGGUCUUCGGAUUGUAAACUCCUGUCAUGUGGGAUAAAUGGCCGGGGCACGAAUAGUGCCUCGGAAUGAUAGUACCACAGGAGGAAGAGACGGCUAACUCUGUGCCAGCAGCCGCGGUAAUACAGAGGUCUCGAGCGUUGUUCGGAUUUACUGGGCGUAAAGGGAGCGUAGGCGGUUCGGUAUGUCGAAUGUGAAAGCCCACAACUCAACUGUGGAAAUGCAUUCGAAACUGCCGGGCUAGAGUACUGGAGAGGAGAGCGGAAUUCUUGGUGUAGCGGUGAAAUGCGUAGAUAUCAAGAGGAACACCGGUGGCGAAGGCGGCUCUCUGGACAGAUACUGACGCUGAGGCUCUAAAGUUAGGGGAGCAAACA